CAGGACCAAUGGGUGUGCCUGAGUCUUAUCACCUCUCAACUAGACAGGGUCCUGAACUUGUUGACUGAUGCCAUGGCGGCAGCUACUAAUUAGGGAGCAGCUGUGAAACAGAAGACUGCAGCCAAGCCAGCACUGGUCCACACCUGCCCUGUCUGUCGGAUGCCAUGUCUUUAUAGAAGACAUUCAAGCAGCACUUUGAGAGCAAUCAUCCCAAGUCUCUAAUGGUCCUAGUACUGGUUAAUGUGCAGGCCUAAGUGACCACACACACUCAAAUGGACCUACAGCUGGGACACACGAUGACCAUGAUUUGAAUGCUGCAACUGAGACGGAAUGACGUCAUUGGGACACACGCUGAGACCCCCAUUAUGACUGGACUUGGGCCGGAUAUUUGCGACAAUGUGUUUUUCAUUCUGCUGGAGUUGACCUAGUAUUUUACAUAAAACCUACCUUACGCAUCCAGUUUUUCCAUUUGUAACUCACCCACCAAAAUCACAAUAUGCUGUUUUACAUUGUGCUAUUUGUGCUGGUCUAAUUGCUAAAAUGGAAAAGCAGAAGAAUCUGUGCGCUCUCAGAUAGUAAUAAUAGUUCAUAUGGUGCUCUUCAAUGUCCCAUGUUUGUGACAUUGAUCAAUACAUUUAAGGUUGACUUAAAUUCAGAUGUUUAGAUAUUAUGUAUAACAGGUAUAUGUAUGCAUUGUUUACUAUUUUUAUUUAUUUAAAACAAUGUAAUUGUUGGAGUUUAGGUGUUUGACGUGACUGAUGGGCGA